rnacentral:rRNA from 1 species
GAUGAACGCUGGCGGCGUGCCUAAUACAUGCAAGUCGAGCGAACAGACGAGGAGCUUGCUUCUCUGACGUUAGCGGCGGACGGGUGAGUAACACGUGGAUAACCUACCUAUAAGACUGGGAUAACUUCGGGAAACCGGAGCUAAUAACGGAUAAUAUAUUGAACCGCAUGGUUCAAUAGUGAAAGACGGUUUUGCUGUCACUUAGAGAUGGAUCCGCGCCGCAUUAGCUAGUUGGUAAGGUAACGGCUUACCAAGGCAACGAUGCGUAGCCGACCUGAGAGGGUGAUCGGCCACACUGGAACUGAGACACGGUCCAGACUCCUACGGGAGGCAGCAGUAGGGAAUCUUCCGCAAUGGGCGAAAGCCUGACGGAGCAACGCCGCGUGAGUGAUGAAGGUCUUCGGAUCGUAAAACUCUGUUAUUAGGGAGGAACAAAUGUGUAAGUAACUAUGCACGUCUUGACGGUACCUAAUCAGAAAGCCACGGCUAACUACGUG